rnacentral:rRNA from 1 species
UAGAGUUUGAUCAUGGCUCAGGACGAACGCUGGCGGCGUGCCUAACACAUGCAAGUCGAACGGGGAUAUCAGGAGUGAAGCCUUCGGGCUAAGCGAGGGGUAUUCUAGUGGCGAACUGGUGAGUAACGCGUGAGCAACCUGGCCUUAACAGGGGGAUAACACAGGGAAACCUGUGCUAAUACCGCAUAAGACCACGUGCCCGAGUGGGUAUGAGGUAAAAGGAGAAAUCCGGUUAAGGAUGGGCUCGCGUCCCAUUAGAUAGUUGGUGAGGUAACGGCUCACCAAGUCAGCGAUGGGUAGCCGGACUGAGAGGUUGAACGGCCACACUGGGACUGAGACACAGCCCAGACUCCUGCGGGAGGCAGCAGUGGGGAAUAUUGCACAAUGGACGAAAGUCUGAUGCAGCAACGCCGCGUGAAGGAAGAAGGUUUUCGGAUUGUAAACUUUUGUCCUAAGGGAAGAAAAAAAUGACGGUACCUUAGGAGGAAGCCCCGGCUAACUACGUGCCAGCAGCCGCGGUAAUACGUA